rnacentral:piRNA from 1 species
UGAUAAGUAGAGAAUCACAAGGUAGACCU